AAUGAAGAGUAUCGAUUAUAUAAAUCUGUGAUCUCUUUUAACCAUAACUUUUUGUUAUUCUGCCUGACCUCUUAUGUUAUUUUUGUUUGUAAUUAGUAUAAGGUAAGAAAGAAUCCUUUGUAAAAUCUAGCAGAUUUUUUAUUUUGUUCCCUGUUUAAUUAAGUACUUAAAGAAUUUUUUUCCCUCUCUAUCUUGACAGAGAGAAACCUAGAAGAAAGUUCUUUUUUGGAUAAAGUAUUUAGCUCUUGGUUUGAAGAAAGUUGACAAAAAAAGCAAGUUUGGAUAGUUGGCUUUCCAAAGCUGUUUGGUAUCAACCUGAGUGAUAAUUUCCCAUAUUGUUUAGACAGGAUGAAAGUAGAAUUUGGAAGCUGGUGGCUUUUCAAACUUGACUACCAGAAGAGAAGGAAUAAAGGGCUCCAAGCCAUCAAAUCUGCAGUGAACAAAAUGGAAGUGCCUUCCAAUCUUGGGUACAUCAGUUCAAGGCUCCUGUUGACCAUGAAAGAUUUGUCUUCAAAAUAAAAACACACACUGAUGGAAGAGGAGGAGAGCAACUCAGUGUUGUGCUGGUACGAAGGCAGUAGAUCUAGCCAGCACGAGGAUGCAGAAGGGGCUUUGCUCCAGCAACCAUCCCAUCUCAGGUUCGAGGAGCGCAUACUAGGUCAGUAUAUAAACCAGAGUCCCCAGGGACUUUGAGUAACACUAGAGUAGUCCAGACUUUGUUUAAUAAUCAAUCAUUUCAAAAUCUUUUUGACACCCAUUCCAUUGUUUUGCUGUGUUACUCAACGUGGCAACGAUCUGUCCAUUGCAAAAUAUCAGGUAAGAAUUGCUUUCAUUUUACUAAAGUAUCUUUUUGUCACAUUAAGGCCAGAGUGCUUAUAAAUUGAUAAUUUUGCACCUUUUAUUAGGCUGUUCAGUAGAGAGAUCCCCCUCCCCACUGUUGCGUGGAGGAUUACUCCAGUGAAAGAUGACCACUUAAAAUGAAUGCAAACGCUUUGUGUCAUCUAUUCUUUUAUCCAGUCAUUAUACAUAUAACUCCACUGGUUAGAGAAGCCACUCUUCAACAAAAAGAGUUUUUAAUGUAAAAUGAGACUAUUACACCAAUCUGAUGCCGAUAAUAUAAUAAUAGUUAAAUUCAAGUAACUUUCAUAGAAGCUUGUAAAGAUCUUUAAAAUUUUGACUCCUUUCUUAAAAAAAAGAAAAUUAACUUAACUAAGACAAUAAGAAUAAAGUAAGUGACUAACAAUGAGUGAUCA
rnacentral:lncRNA from 1 species